CAAACAAUUAAUAGCAUUAACAUUCCAAAGUAUUAACACAAUUAUCAUUCCAAAAUAUUAACAAAAUAUCCAAAACCAUUACCAAAAUUAAAUUCUAAAAGUUAUCAAAAUAUUAAAACUCUAAUCAUGAACAACAUCACAUUCUAACCAAUUGUCCAAGUAGCAUGGGCCAAAUCCUAAUUCUAGGCCCAACCAGGGGGGUGUAUGGACAAGGUAGUGGUGCAGCAAAAGGAAAACUGGGUCUUGAUUGUGCAUAGGCCCAACACACAUGUGAGUUAUGGGAGAAAACUGAUGGAAACUCAUCCCUUCUCCUUCACUCACUCGCUUAGUAACAGUAAAAAGAGAAGAAAGAGGAUAAUGUCGGCGCUCCAAAGCUCCGCCGUGCUGAAGUUCUUCGCCACCGCAGGCGAAGCGUAACCUAGUCUAACGCCUCAAACUUUCCUAAAUGGAACAGAAGACACACUUCCUCACUCCAACAAAAUGCGACGCCGACGUGCGACUCCUAUACGGACCGAAUCGCACGCCAAAUGAAAGUGGAUUCAGAUUCGAUCGCGAUUCACGACAGCACCUCAGCAACGACAAUCAAAAGAAACUCAAUCGGCCAACGCGAAGAGAAGGGAAACCUACCGGCGAUGGAAAAAUUGGAUCCGCCGGCGAAUGUCGGAUUCCGAGCUCAGGUUGGUUGAUUGGAAGCCAAAGAAUAUUGAAUAUGAAUUGCAGAAUAUUGCGAGAAGGAACCCAAGACGUUGUGAGCUCAUGAGUUCUUAUAGAACUCUGAAUGGGAAGUGGCACUUGAUUUUCAAUACCGCGCUUUUUCAUUUACCGCUUUGCAUUUUCUGUUGUCGUUUACGUUAGCUUGGCGUUCACACUGCAAUUGUUGUUGUUGUUUGCAGUGUACUUGGUUGAUGUGGCUUAUGCAGCUCACGCUUUGCAUUUGUACCGUACUGGCUUGCAGCUUGGAUCGUGUUUCAUUGCUAUGCGUUUACCGACAUUGUCAUUUUGGAUUUGGCUUUGUUGUAGUGUCGUGUUUUGAUUAUCACCUGUAUCUGCGUUUUGUUUUAAAUUGUAUUUGUCCCAUUUUAUUUUCAUGAUCAAGCCGCGUUCUGGUUAUGCAGUAGCUUACCGUUGGUUUACGGUGUGAACACAUUGGCUUCUGCAGCUUUUGGCUUGGCUGCACUUUUGUAGCACCUCACGUUUGGAUUUUGACUUGCAACUGCGUUUUGCUUGUGGCUUAUCCGUGUUUGGCAUAACUUCAGUUGUAGGUGCUGUAUUUUGUGUACCGUUUCCCAUUGCAUUUUGCCACAGCUUUUGGAUUCUUGCAGCU